UAAAUAAAAAAAAGACAUAUUCGUUCAACUCAGAGUGAACCCGCUGCUCUCACGAUGAACCCUAAACUAUCUAACGCUAAAUUCAACUUCUCUCUCACUCGAUUCAAUCGUUCAUCACGAUCUCAAAUUCCCUCUCAUCUCUCAUAAUUGAACUCGUCCUCUCUCUCUCUCUCACUCGAAAUUGAACCAUCUCUCACGAUGAAACCCUAAGAUUCUCAGGCGAAAUUGAACAAUCUCUCACUCGAACCUGGCCUCUCUCUCUCUCACACUCGUUCUCUCGAACUCCUCAUCUCAGAUUCGCCCAAACUUCAUCGUCUUCUUCAGGUUCUCAAGAUUCGUUCAAGCUUCAGGACUCCAUGGUAUGGGUGGAAGCUUUGUUACCAUUCGAAAAUGGGGACCUUCUCAGCACCAUUCACCAGGUUGGAAUGGUUGAGAAAGCUGUAAGUAAAUACCCCUGUCCAUCUAUCAAUUGCUACCUGUUGAUCAUAGUCUGGCAUAUUAUACAUUGUUUAGUAUAUUGUGCUUUCCUCCUCGUUAUGUUUUUAAUUUUUAUUUCAUUUAAAGUUUGUGAUUUUCUAUUAUGUACCAUUUAAAGUUUGCCAUCAGGCCUAUGAGUACUUUGCAUACUUAGCUUGUUUAUUCAAUGCAUAACUUGUUUUGAUCAAUUUAUGUUUGAAUUAUUGUUUUGUUUUAUCAUAUAGCAUUAUAGUAAGUGAAGAUGAUGUUCAUUCCAUCUGUGUCAAGGCAUAAUAUUAUCCAUGUCUGCAUGUAGUUGAAGUUAUGCAGUUUGCUAGAGUAAUCUUAUUAUCGAUCUUGUGUUGGGUGGUUUGUUCUUCAAUACACUAUAUGCAGGCUAUUUUCUCUUUUCAUUCUUUAGCUUCGAAGAAUAAUGCAAUUUUGGGUUUCAUUGUUUUUCACUCUGUGAUCAAUUUUGCAGAACAAAGAUUGGCCUUUUGGAUUUCUUGUUUUUCUUCUAUUGACUAUUGUUUAUUUUGAUUGUUGAUGAUCAUCAUGGAGAAUUAUUCAAGAAGUGGUGGUGUUCAUGAUUUUACUAUGGCUUCAAGAAAAGCUGAAGAAACAAGUUGAUGACACCCUCGACUUAUUCAACGAACUUCAGUUGCAACAUCAGGUGGUAGCUACAAAGACUAAGACGCUUCAUGAUGCAUGUGAUAGACUGAUGUGAGUUGUUUUAGCACCCUUGACAAGAAAUAGAUCCUACGGCAAAGUUCCUCAAUCUCAUGCUAUCCUCUAUUACUCUCAGAGAGCAGCUUGUUCUAAUGGCGGUCUUCUCAUAACUGAAGCUACCGGUGUCUCUGAUACUGCAAGGAUCUUGAAGGCAUGUUAAAUAUGAAGAUUCAAGAUUUGGAGAUCGUAGAGGAACGUAGAAUCAAAAGAGCGGACAAACAUGGAAUUGUUAAAUAUGAAGAUUUGAAGAUUGUUAUUUCAUCCGAAAACGUUGUUGUUCAAGUCACUUGAUGUGUUCGAUGAUCCGACGUCAUUAACAGAGGAGGAGCUGUAUGAAUUGUGAAACAGUUGGGCAACUUGUUUUCUUGACCUAUAUAAUCCUUAGGUAGAUUAUGAUGUUGCCGAUGAGGCUUAGGAGCUAGCUAGGUUAAUUUGUGUGAUGUUACAAUGGAUUCAUAUUAAUUAUGAUGUUUUGAAUUGUAAUGACAUUUGAUAUUUUGCUUGAA